GAUGAACGCUGGCGGCAUGCUUUACACAUGCAAGUCGGACGGGAAGUGGUGUUUCCAGUGGCGGACGGGGGAGUAACGCGUAAGAACCUGCCAUUGGGAGGGGAACAACAGCUGGAAACGGCAGCUAAUACCCCGUAGGCUGAGGAGCGAAAGGAGGAAUCCGCCCAAGGAGGGGCUCGGGUCUGAAUAGCUAGUUGGUGAGGUAAUAGCUUACCAAGGCCGUGAUCAGUAGCUGGUCCGAGAGGAUGACCAGGCACCCUGCGAGUGAGACAAGGGCGAGACUCCUGCGGAAGGUAGCAGUGGGGGAUUAUCCGCAAUGGGCGAAAGCCUGACGGAGCAAUGCCGCGUGGAGGUAGAAGGCCUACGUGUCAUGAACUUCUUUUCCUGGAGAAGAAACAAUGACGGUAUCUGGUGAAUAAGCAUCGGCUAACUCUGUG
rnacentral:rRNA from 1 species